rnacentral:rRNA from 1 species
GAUGAACGCUGGCGGCGUGCCUAAUACAUGCAAGUCGAGCGAACAGACGAGGAGCUUGCUCCUCUGACGUUAGCGGCGGACGGGUGAGUAACACGUGGAUAACCUACCUAUAAGACUGGGAUAACUUCGGGAAACCGGAGCUAAUACCGGAUAAUAUAUUGAACCGCAUGGUUCAAUAGUGAAAGACGGUGUUGCUGUAAGUUAUAGAUGGAUCCGCGCCGCAUUAGCUAGUUGGUCAGGUAACGGCUUACCAAGGCAACGAUGCGUAGCCGACCUGAGAGGGUGAUCGGCCACACUGGAACUGAGACACGGUCCAGACUCCUACGGGAGGCAGCAGUAGGGAAUCUUCCGCAAUGGGCGAAAGCCUGACGGAGCAACGCCGCGUGAGUGAUGAAGGUCUUCGGAUCGUAAAACUCUGUUAUUAGGGAAGAACAAAUGUGUAAGUAACUAUGCACGUCUUGACGGUACCUAAUCAGAAAGCCACGGCUAACUACGUG